GCGGGAGUGCCGGAGUGGCCAAACGGGCAAGGUUGAGGUCUACUUGAGCAAAAGCCUUGUGGCUUAGUGCCUGCGCGAGUUCAAACCUCGUCUCCCGCA
rnacentral:tRNA from 1 species